rnacentral:rRNA from 1 species
AACGAACGCUGGCGGCAUGCCUAACACAUGCAAGUCGAACGAGACGUUCGGGUCUAGUGGCGCACGGGUGCGUAACGCGUGGGAACCUGCCCUUAGGUUAGGAAUAACUCCCCGAAAGGUGUGCUAAUAACGGAUAAUGUCUUAGGGCAAAAGAUUUAUCGCCGUUGGGUGGGGGCGGGUUGGUUUAGCCAGUUGGUAGGGUAAAAGCCUACCAAGGCGACGAUGCAGAGCUGGUCUGUGAGGAUGACCCGCCACGCUUGGACUGCGACACGGACCAGACCCCUACGCGGAGGAGCAGUGGGGAAUAUUGGACGAGGGGCGAAAGUCUGACAAAGCAACGCCGGGUAAGUGAUGAAGGCGUUAGGGUUGUAAAGCUCUUUUACCCGGGAUGAUAAUGACAGUACCGGGAGAAUAAGCUCCGGCUAACUCCGUG